CCUACGGGUGGCUGCAGUAAGGAAUAUUGGUCAAUGGACGCAAGUCUGAACCAGCCAUGCCGCGUGGAGGAUGAAGGUCCUCUGGAUGGUAAACUUCUUUUAUUUGGGAAGAAACUCCCGAUUUCCAUCGGGAUUGACGGUACCAGAUGACUAAGCACCGGCUAACUCCGUGCCAGCAGCCGCGGUCAUACGGAGGGUGCAGGAUUUAUCCGGAUUCACUGGGUCGAAAGGGGUCAGGUAAGUCAAUGUAGAAAUCUCCGGGCUUAACCCGGAAACUGCCAUUGAUACUAUUUGUCUUGAAUACUCUGGAGGUGAGCGGAAUAUGUCAUGUAGCGGUGAAAUGCUUAGAUAUGACAUAGAACACCCAUUGCGAAGGCAGCUCACUACGGAAAUAUUGACGCUGAGGCACGAAAGCGUGGGGAUCAAACAGGAUUAGAUACCCCGGUAGUC
rnacentral:rRNA from 1 species